GAUGAACGCUGGCGGCGUGCCUAAUACAUGCAAGUCGAGCGAACAGAUGAGGAGCUUGCUCCUCUGACGUUAGCGGCGGACGGGUGAGUAACACGUGGAUAACCUACCUAUAAGACUGGGAUAACUUCGGGAAACCGGAGCUAAUACCGGAUAAUAUAUUGAACCGCAUGGUUCAAUAGUGAAAGACGGUUUUGCUGUCACUUAUAGAUGGAUCCGCGCCGCAUUAGCUAGUUGGUAAGGUAACGGCUUACCAAGGCGACGAUGCGUAGCCGACCUGAGAGGGUGAUCGGCCACACUGGAACUGAGACACGGUCCAGACUCCUACGGGAGGCAGCAGUAGGGAAUCUUCCGCAAUGGGCGAAAGCCUGACGGAGCAACGCCGCGUGAGUGAUGAAGGUCUUCGGAUCGUAAAACUCUGUUAUUAGGGAAGAACAAAUGUGUAAGUAACUAUGCACGUCUUGACGGUACCUAAUCAGAUAGCCACGGCUAACUACGUG
rnacentral:rRNA from 1 species